UACGUAGGGGGCGAGCGUUGUCCGGAAUCAUUGGGCGUAAAGGGUGCGUAGGCGGGUCUUUUAAGUCAGGGGUGAAAUCCUGGAGCUCAACUCCAGAACUGCCUUUGAUACUGAGGAUCUUGAGUUCGGGAGAGGUGAGUGGAACUGCGAGUGUAGAGGUGAAAUUCGUAGAUAUUCGCAAGAACACCAGUGGCGAAGGCGGCUCACUGGCCCGAUACUGACGCUGAGGCACGAAAGCGUGGGGAGCAAACAGG
rnacentral:rRNA from 1 species